rnacentral:rRNA from 1 species
GUAGGGAAUAUUGGGCAAUGGUCGGAAGACUGACCCAGCCAAGCCGCGUGCAGGAAGACGGCCCUCUGGGUUGUAAACUGCUUUUAUCUGGGAAGAAAAAGGCCAUGCGUGGCAAAUUGCCGGUACCAGAUGAAUAAGCACCGGCUAACUCCGUGCCAGCAGCCGCGGUAAUACGGAGGGUGCGAGCGUGGUCCGGAUUUAUUGGGGUUAAAGGGUGCGUAGGCGGCUGAUUAAGUCAGCGGUGAAAGACUGCGGCUUAACCGGAGCAGUGCCGUUGAUACUGGUUGGCUUGAGUGUCGGAGGGGUACAUGGAAUUGAUGGUGUAGCGGUGAAAUGCAUAGAUACCAUCAGGAACACCGAUAGCGAAGGCAUUGUACUGGCCGACAACUGACGCUGAUGCACGAAAGUGUGGGGAUCGAACAGGAUUAGAAACCCGUGUAGUCC